rnacentral:misc_RNA from 1 species
CAGACUGACAUUUCACAUAUCCAUCAGGCAGUUCACCUGAGAACAUGUUUUGAAGUAAAAGAAUGUAACUCAAUUUACCUCCACUACACAGAAAAGGCGGUAGCUUCCCAGAAAAUCGAUUUUCUGACAAGUCCAAUGCUAACAAAGCUGAUGAAAGACCAAAGUGUUGUGGAACUUCUCCUGUAAACAGAUUGUCAUAAAGAGACAG